rnacentral:rRNA from 1 species
UACGUAGGCAGCAAGCGUUGUUCGGAAUUACUGGGCGUAAAGAGUGUGUAGGCGGUGUUCCAAGUCUGUUGUGAAAUCUCCCGGCUUAACUGGGAGGGUGCGGCGGAAACUGGGAUGCUAGAGGAUGGGAGAGGUAAGCGGAAUUCCUGGUGUAGCGGUGAAAUGCGCAGAUAUCAGGAAGAACACCUAUGGCGAAGGCAGCUCUCUGGGACGGUACUGACGCUGAGACGCGAAAGCGUGGGGAGCAAACAGG